rnacentral:misc_RNA from 1 species
GAUUGAAGAACGCAGCGAAAUGCGAUAAGUAAUGUGAAUUGCAGAAUUCAGUGAAUCAUCGAAUCUUUGAACGCACAUUGCGCCCCUUGGUAUUCCGAGGGGCAUGCCUGUUCGAGCGUCAUUAUAACCCUCAAGCUCAGCUUGGUGUUGGGGCCUGCUGCACUGGCAGCCCUUAAAAUCAGUGGCGGCGCCAUCUGGCUCUAAGCGUAGUAAUUCUUCUCGCUAUGGAGUCCUGGUGGAUGCUUGCCAUCAACCCCCAAUUUUUCUAUGGUUGACCUCGGAUCAGGUAGGGAUACCCGCUGAACUUAAGCAUAUCAAUAAGCGGAGGA